rnacentral:rRNA from 1 species
AGUGAACGCUGGCGGUAGGCCUAACACAUGCAAGUCGAACGGCAGCACAGUAAGAGCUUGCUCUUACGGGUGGCGAGUGGCGGACGGGUGAGGAAUACAUCGGAAUCUACUUUUUCGUGGGGGAUAACGUAGGGAAACUUACGCUAAUACCGCAUACGACCUACGGGUGAAAGCAGGGGAUCUUCGGACCUUGCGCGAUUGAAUGAGCCGAUGUCGGAUUAGCUAGUUGGCGGGGUAGAGGCCCACCAAGGCGACGAUCCGUAGCUGGUCUGAGAGGAUGAUCAGCCACACUGGAACUGAGACACGGUCCAGACUCCUACGGGAGGCAGCAGUGGGGAAUAUUGGACAAAGGGCGCAAGCCUGAUCCAGCCAUACCGCGUGGGUGAAGAAGGCCUUCGGGUUGUAAAGCCCUUUUGUUGGGAAAGAAAAGCAGCAGGUUAAUACCCCGCCGUUCUGACGGUACCCAAAGAAUAAGCACCGGCUAACUUCGUG